GUUGGCUCUACCCGAAGCUGGUGCGCUAACCUUUUAGGAGGCAGCCAACCACGGUAGGGUCAGCGACUGGGGUGAAGUCGUAACAAGGUAGCCGUAGGUGAACCUGCAGAAGGAUCA
rnacentral:rRNA from 1 species